GACGAACGCUGGCGGCGUGCCUAAUACAUGCAAGUUGAGCGCUGAAGGUUGGUACUUGUACCAACUGGAUGAGCAGCGAACGGGUGAGUAACGCGUGGGGAAUCUGCCUUUGAGCGGGGGACAACAUUUGGAAACGAAUGCUAAUACCGCAUAAAAACUUUAAACACAAGUUUUAAGUUUGAAAGAUGCAAUUGCAUCACUCAAAGAUGAUCCCGCGUUGUAUUAGCUAGUUGGUGAGGUAAAGGCUCACCAAGGCGAUGAUACAUAGCCGACCUGAGAGGGUGAUCGGCCACAAUGGGACUGAGACACGGCCCAAACUCCUACGGGAGGCAGCAGUAGGGAAUCUUCGGCAAUGGACGAAAGUCUGACCGAGCAACGCCGCGGGAGUGAAGAAGGUUUUCGGAUCGUAAAACUCUGUUGGUAGAGAAGAACGUUGGUGAGAGUGGAAAGCUCAUCAAGUGACGGUAACUACCCAGAAAGGGACGGCUAACUACGUG
rnacentral:rRNA from 1 species